AGAUUAUGGAAUCCUCACCUGUGCAGUGCUUUUUGACCUCAUUGGUGGGAAUGGGCUGGACUGCGAUAAGGGGAAUGAACUGUUUGGAGAACAUGCUGCUGCCGUAGCCCAGGAUGUAGCCCUCCAGUUUGGUGUCGGUGUUGGGGCGAACAAACUUCAUCACAAUGGUGUCUCCUGUAGCGUUGAUGCGGACCUUCAUGUUCUGGCGUCUGACUGGUAAGACCACCGAUGACCGUCAGAGAUUGCAUGAAAUCCACUGAUGACGGAUGUAGAACUACGCACUAUAGUGGAUUGUUGUCUUCUAAUACCAUCCCAAAGAGGUUUUGUCAUCUCAUUGGUUGGUCAGAACAACACAUCUGCUCUCAUAAAUACACUCAAUGAGGGUAUUUAACUCUCUAUACUGCCCAACAAACUACAUCCCCUGCAUGCGUGAGCGUUUAAAUCAAUUAAACGGAGCUGUCCUGGAUGAUGAAGCAGUGAUAGAAGAGUUGGGACUGUGUAGAACCAGAUGUUUUAUGGCCGCCUCCUUUCUGGGCAAUGAAGUGUGAAGGAUUUUGCUGAGCCUCAUGCCAACCGGAAUGUAGAUCAAUUAGUCUGUGUUCACACUUGGGGUUUGGUACUCUAGUCCGAACCAAAAAUUUUAAAAAGAUACUUUGUGCACAAUUUAGUGGGAUUCCGUCAACAUUCACACUAACAUUUUUGUCUUGAGACCAAAGGUUGCACAGUAAAAAAAUGUAUGCAUAAAGUAAGGACUUGAUUGUGAUGUACUGUAACUCAAGUAUUCUAAACUAAAAUGGUUAUUUUUUAUAAUUUGCUGUAUUUGCUAUCUUAGAUUU